rnacentral:rRNA from 1 species
ACCUCGUGUGUCCUACCGGCCCCGAGGGGUGUUGCGUUUCGGAGGGGUCCAGCACGCCGUGACAUACUGCCUAAGUCUUAGUUUGGAACGCGGCCACUACCCAGGGAGGGUGACAGGCCCGUACGGCGGUUCCCGCGAGGGCAUAGGUGUCGCGGUCGGAAAGGACCUCUCCGUAGAGUCGGGUUGCUUGAAAGUGCAGCCCAAAGCAGGUGGUAAACUCCAUCUAAGGCUGAAUAUGACCAGGAGACCGAUAGCGAACAAGUACCGUGAGGGAAAGUUGAAAAGAACUUUGAAGAGAGAGUUCAAGAGUACGUGAAACCGUUAAGAGCCAAAACGGAUGGAAGCUCGAAGGUCGAACUUGGGGGAUUCAGCUCGUCGGGCGUCGGCUGUGGUCGGGUGUUCGUUAACUCGCGUGCGACCCGAGAGUGCUCGGGCGCGCUCGACUGCACGCUGGCGUCGGCGGGCGUAUUUCGCCUUUAGUAGGGCGCCGCGACCCGUCGCUGGGGACGUCGAAGGCCCGGACGGACUGGUACCCUAUUUCCAAAGCGUCGUGGUGGUCGCCUGUCUCUCUUCGGGGGGACGACGACGACCGGGGCGAUUGCGGGAGUAGGCGAAACCGCCGGUGUAUAUUAUAUUUCCUGGCUGCCCUGCGACGGUCGUAGAGACGAGCUCCGCUCUUCUCCUCGUCCUCGUCCUCCUCCUCGUGGGGGGAGCGGGGAACGAGAGAUGGCGGGGCUCUCGCGGCGUGCAAACAGAUCGGUGGUCCAUCCGACCCGUCUUGAAACACGGACCAAGGAGUCUAACAUGUGUGCGAGUCAUUGGGCGCACUAAACCCAAAGGCGUAAUGAAAGUGACAAGCCAUUCCGGCGCCCCCAUGGGCGCCGGACAAUGGGCCGAUCCCCAGCCGGCUGCCUCUGCCGUUACUCCCCGUCGACCCGGCAUGCUUAGGUGAGGUAGUUUCCCUGGCCGCUGCCCAGCGAGUCGUCGUGGGGGUGUCUGGCUGGAGCGCAAAGGCGUGUGUGUGAGUGUGAGGAACAUCAUCAUCAUCAUCAUGACAUUUCCUGUCCGCAGGGGGGCGCACGCCCGGGACUUGCCAUGACGCCGCCAGGCCACCUCUCUCUCCUGAAGCAGCUGCUGCAGCUUGCGGAUGGUAUUGCGGUGGUCAUCAGGCGUGCAGUCGGCAAGUACCAUGAGCAGACAUGUUAGCACCCGAAAGAUGGUGAACUAUGCCUGGCCAGGAUGAAGCCAGAGGAAACUCUGGUGGAGGUCCGUAGCGAUUCUGACGUGCAAAUCGAUCGUCUGAGCUGGGUAUAGGGGCGAAAGACUAAUCGAACCAUCUAGUAGCUGGUUCCCUCUGAAGUUUCCCUAAGGAUAGCUGGAACUCGCAGGAUGAAUUUCAUCCGGUAAAGCGAAUGAUUAGAGGUCUUGGGGACGAAACGUCCUCAACCUAUUCUCAAACUUUAAAUGGGUGAGAUGCCGAGCUUGCUUGAACGCUCUCUGUGUGUGUGUGUGUGUGAAGCUUCGGCGACUAACUGAGUAUCUAGUGGGCCAAUUUUGGUAACAAAUGGCGCUGUGGGAUGAACCAAACGUCGAGUUAAGGGGCCUAAAUGAAUGCUCAUUCAAUCCCAUCAAAGGCGUUGGUUGCUCUAACAGCAGAGGUGGCCAUGGAAGUUGGAAUCCGCUUAGGAGUGUGUAACAACUCACCUGCCGAACAACUAUCCUGAAAAUGGUAUGGCGCUCAAGCAUUCUCCCGAUACUCGACCGCCGGGGCACUAGCGGCCACGCACCCUACAACGAGUGCGAGGUCUCGAAGCCCCGGUGAGUAAGAGGGUCGCAGUGGUGAGCUUAGAAGGGGUCCGGCGUGAGCCGGCCUGGAGCCGCCACUGGUGCAGAUCUUGGUGGUAGUAGCAAAUAUUCGAGAGAGACGCCCUUGCAGACCGAUGUGGAGAAGGGUUCCAUGUGAACAUCAGUUGGACAUGGGUUAGUCGCUCCUAAGUCCAAGGCCAAGGCCUGAUCCCACGGUAGCGGCGAAGGCCAAACAACCUAACCAAACCUAACCUAACCUUACCUAACCAACCAAGAGGUAUUUCUCCAAGGGUACCGAGGGAGGUAGGUAGGUGGGUAGAGGUAGGUCCGAACCACCCAACUAGACGAUAAAGCCAUCCUUUUGUGCACAAUGUUAAAAAGGAGGGUGGGCGGGCCCUCCGUCACGGCGGCGGCGGCGGCGGCGGCCGGAGUUCGUUGCCUUGCGCGCGCGACUUGCUGGUGCCGCCGCCAGCCGGGAGGUGCCCAAGCGUCUUUAUGGAGUUGCCUGGGGGUUAGUGGCGAAAGGGAAUACGGUAAAUAUUCCGUAACCUGGACUGGGAUACACAGCAGUCGCAAGCACUGCUUGGGCUGUGUGUGGAGUACGUCUGCUGACGGGAACCAACUCGCCUACGCCGGCGGUGGUCCGGGAAAGAGUUUUCUUUUCUGUUUAAGGCGCCGUGACCCUGGCAAGCCAUUUGCCGAAAGAGAGGGUGUUGGUAUCACGGUUUGUUCCGAAGAGCGCCGCGGUUCUUGCGGCGUCCCGAGUGCCAUCGCCGGACCUUGAAACAGCGAGGGAUUGGUCUUUUAACUCCAGGGGCGAGUGUCGGUUGAACGAGUAUGUGCGCGGGAAGCCGUCACUUUGCCUUAUUUCGGUCCAGCGCGUAUCCAUUCCGCAUCAGGUCUCCAAGUAAGCAGCCU